ACUUCCUGUGGGCCUUGCAGGGUGGGGAGCCAGAGGAAAUGACCUGGUUCCUGUUCUUAGCAUCCUGGGGGUGGGAUGGGAGAUGCAGAAACUGAGGCUCAGAAGCGUUCGGCCACGUGCAUGCAUUGUCUUUCCCAUUGGUGCUCCAUUGCCAGUAAUAAGGUGCAUUGGAAAUUCAAAUUUCAGAAUAAGCUGACUGCCAAGAGGGCCCUCCCUGUGUCGGGACCUGUCUGAGCCCCUUAGUCCGUGGGAAAUUCACAGAGAAGGAAACGGUCACUUUUCCUGCACCUGAGAAGACGGAGUCUCGCUCUGUCGCCCGGACUGGAGCGCAGUGGCACGGUCUCGGCUCACUGCAACGUCUGCCUGCCGGGUUCAAGGGAUUUUCCCGCCUCAGCCACCUGUGAGCCACCAUGCAGGCCAGCCUCAGUGACUUCUUAGGAGCCUGUCGUAUGCAAUCUUGGGAGCUGAAGAGUGAGAGGGACCCACCCCAUCCUACUUCUACAGAAUCCUUGGCACCCCCACCAAUGUUCCUAGACUCCCAUCUCAGGACCAAGGUGAUUCUGACUCUCCUGGAACCUGAGAACCACCAGUCUGUGGGAACAGAGCCCUGCUUUGGGUCAGCGCUCACUCCAAAGUUUGCUGGAAUCAUCUGAGGCCACCAGUGUCUACAGCACAACGAGCUGCCUUUAUGGAGCCCGGGACCAGCCCCAGGAAGCCAAUCUCAGCUCAGGGGCCAGGAUUUUAGUGCAAAGCUCUGCCCUCUUCUGUAAACCACGGUUCUCCUGAGAAACAGCUCAUGCCUUUGCCUGGGAACAGAUGGUUCCGCAGCAGCCAGCCCCAGCCUGAAAUGAGUUGCGGAGGCACUGCUGCCUGUCUCCACCAGCAAGAGGGAGGAGAGGCCCUUCCCGUGCCUGCAGUAGUCCAGGGUAGAUGCAAGCAGAAAGACUGGUGAAGACUGGAGCUCCUGGGCAGAAGCACUGACAGGCAGAGGAGAACACACUGUUACGUGGUGAUGUCCUGGGUUCUGUGAGUCUCCCAUAAGCCGCGGCUGGUCAAGAAACGGAUCAAUGGGACCACGAACAAAGUGGCCAUGGACGCAGUUGAGUCUGCAGAUGAUACCUCAGCCCUGGCCAACAACUGCAACCCUGUGAGAGACUUUGACACAGAGCACCCAGCUAAGCCAUGCCAGGACUCCUAACCCACAGAAACCAUCAGGGUCUAUGGUUUGUCAUUAUCACCAUCUCUUUGCGAAUACCUGGAACUCCGUAACCCCUCUUUGACUUCAUCUUAUUUGCCCGGCAAAACCCAUCUGUCUUGGUGCCUGCACUCAAGUAUCUGAAGAUCACCGACACAUUCGUACAGCUGAGCUGAGCAGUGCCACUAUUCUCAAACAUCGAAGGGCCUCGACACGGAAAACUCUACUGUUUUUCUAAUACGAACAGUUUCUUCUCCACUUUCUCAAGGUAAGUAUUUCACUUCUUUUUCUCUUUCUUCAAAUUUCCUAUUUCCCUUUCUAGAUUCAUUCUCAUUUGAUUUGGUAACCUUGCCUCAUUAUUUAUUGAGAGAAUUAAUGCCUUCAAUCACACAGACACCUUUUCAUCUUUCCUCCACAAAAUCUGCAAACCCACCUGCUUCUUCCUACCUUGGAGAUGUUGUCCCUACUUUUCUCAAGGGUGUCUUUUUUUUUUUUUUCUCUUUUUUCUUCUUCUUCUCCUCCUUCUUCUUCCCCUUCUUCUUUCUUCUCCUUCUUUUCGUCCUUCUCCUUCUUUUUAAGACAAGAUCUCGCUCUGUCACCAAGACUGGAGUGCAGUGGUGCAAUCAUGCCUCAAUCUCCUGGGCCAAGUGAUCCACCCACCUCAGCCUCCUGAGUAGCUGGGGCCACAGGCAUGGGCCACCACCCACGCCUAGCUAUGUUUUUUGUCUUUUGUUUUUUGUAGAGACACAGUCUCUCUAUGUUGCCCAGGCUUGUCUUGAACUCCUGGGCUCGAGAGCUCCUCCUGCCUCCGCCUCCCAAAGUGCUGGGAUUACAGAUGUGAGCCACUGUGCCUGGCCUCAAGAAUGUCUUGAUUCUGAAUCUCUACCUCUUUUACUUUAUCAAAGUGUUUCUUUCUCUACUGGGUCAUUUCCCACCACUUUAAAAACAUUUCUAAUAUCCACUCUCCACCCCCAACACACACACAAACAAAACAAAAGUAAACUAAUGGCUGUAUUAGUUUUCUAUUGCUGUGUAAUACAUUACCACAAACUUAGUGGCUUAAAAGAACACACAUUUGCCAGGCGUGGUGGCUCAUGCCUAUAAUCUCAGCACUUUGGGAGGAUGAGGUGGGUGGAUCACCUGAGGUCAGGAGUUCGAGACCACCCUGGUCAACAUGGCGAAACUCUGUCUCUACUAAAAAUAUAAAAAAUUAGCCAGGUGUGGUGGCGCGCGCCUGUAAUCCCAGCUACUUGGGAGGCUGAGGCAGGAGAAUCUCUUGAACCCAGGAGGUGGAAGUUGCAGUGAGCCGAGAUUGUGCUAUUGCACUCCAGCCUGGGUGACAGAGCGAGACUCUGUCAAAACAAACAAAAAACACAUUUAUCGUGUCAGUUUCUGUGGGUCAGAAGCCCAGCAUGUUUUGAGUCCUCUGCUUAGCAUCUCACCAGGCUCAAAUCAAGGAACUGGCCCAGACUGUGACCCCAGCUGGGGCUCAGGGUCAUCUUCCAAGCUUAUUGGUUGUUGCAGAAUUCAGUUUCCUGCAAUUGGAGGACUGAGGUUUCCACUUUCUUGCUGGCUGCCAACAGGGGGCCAUUCGUAGCUCCUAGAGGCCACCAGUUGCUCACUGACGUGUGACCCCCUUCACAAGAGGACAGUUUGCUCCUUCAAGGCCAGCAGUAAAGUGCUCUGUAAAGGGCUCACCUGAUUAGAUCAGGCCCACCAAGAUGAGUUUCUUCUGAUUAAUUCAAAGUCAACUGAUUAGGGGCCUUAAUUAUAUUUGCAAUAUUCACCUUUGCUAUAUAAUGUAACCUAAAUCACAGCAAUAUCCCACCAUACAGCUUCUGCCUGUAUACCCUCAAGGGGAGGGGAUUAUACAUGUCUUGUACAAUAAGAGGCAGGAAUCUUGGAGGCCAUCUUAGAAUUCUGCCAACCACAACACACACCAUACACCACACACCUCACACAUGCCACACCACACACACCUGCCACACCACACACAUCACAUCACACACCCCAUGACACACACACUACACACUGACACCGCACACCCCACAUACCAUACACACCAAACACCACAGACACCACACAUACACCACACACACCACAUACACGAGACAUACUACAUACCCCACAUAGCACAACCACCACACAGGCAACACAGAAACCAUACACACCACACACACACACGCCCCACACACAGCACACACACCACACACCCUACACACACAACACGCACACCAUACACACCACACAUAUCACACACCCCCACGCACACAACAUACACACCACACACACCACACGCCCCACAUGCCACACCACAUACACAUCAUACACACCAAACACCACACAUGCAGCACACACCACACACCAUACAGCUCAUACCACACACAACACACACACCAUAUACACGAAACGCCACACCCGCAACACACACUAUAUACACCAACCCCAUGCACACAUCGCACACACACCACACGCCUGACACAUCACACACCACAUACCACACACACCCACAUGCCACACACACACAUCACACACCACAUACACCUCACACACCACCCCCACACACCACACACAAAGAUGACACACACACCACACACCCCACGUACCACACAGACACCACACACCCCAUACACACCCUGCACAACGCACACAUCAUACAGAGACACCGCAUAUCCCACACACACCACACACAUGCACUGCACCCACACCACACACCCACAUAAUACCAGACCACACACACACCAUACACAACACCCACCACACACACACCUCACACAUAACCACACACCACACAACACAUGCAUACCUCACACCACACACUCACACCACCCCCUGCCCCACCACACACACACACACACAGCAGGUGCUCUGGACCUAUCUGUCAAAUUGCAUGGGGCAGCUGAGCCUCAGUUUUCUUUGAGACAGAGUCUCACUCUUGUCACCCAGACUGGAGUGCAGUGGCACGACGUUGGCUCACCGCAACCUCCACCUCCUGGGUUCAAGCAAUUCUCUUGCCUCAGCCUCUUGAGUAGCUGGGAUUACAGGCAUGCGCCCAGCUAGUUUUUGUAUUUUUAGUAAAGACAGGUUUCACCAUGUUGGCCAAGCUGGUCUUGAACUCCUGACCUCAAGUGAUCUGCCUGCUUCGGCCUCCCAAAGUGCUGGGAUUGCAGGUGAGAGUCACUGCACCCGGCCCAGUCUUCUUAUCUGUAAAAUGGGUGUCGGGUCAUAUGUUCCUCCUGCCAGUCCAGGUGCCCUCUUCACCUUUCUCCAUUCUGUGCUGGGCCUAGAGGCUGACCUCUCCCCAGGCUCCAGCUCUCACCAGAUUCCAGGACCUUCCCUGCUCUCCGGCUGGUAAGAGCUUCCUGCUGCUGCAGACCCUGCAGGCUUCACCAGCCUUUCUUGGUUCCUUUAACUCUGCCCAGCACUUUGUAAGAGUCCCUUCAUCAAACCCACAAUACCCCUUUGAAUGUGCCAUCUGUUUCCACCCAGGGCCCUGAUUGCUGCAAUAAUUGGUACCAGAAUAGCUCUGGGAGACAGAUCCUUGGAAGGGAUGCUGGGGUUGGGUUGCUCACGCUUCUUGAUUAGUGCGUGAAUAACCUCCUCGACAUGGGGUAAUGGACAAUGGUCAUCUAUGGCACGCAGUGGCAUCACAGUUACUUAUGACCAGUGGUGGCUUGAUGUUGGGAGAUCAAGUGGCUAUGGCAUUUAGUCAAUAUGAUGACAAUAAUGACUAACAAAUAGUGACAAAGACUGUGGCAUGGGCUUCUGACUGUACAUUUGACUGCCCUAGAAACACACACAAAGGAACAGAUUGAAAACCUUGAAUUCCCGACUCAGUGCAAGGCUGGAGAUUCCGAAAGGCCCCAGGGUGGCUCUGAAAGUAUCUUUGAUCUCUGCCAGCCACAGGGCAGAUGUGGCUGAGAACCAAGCUCAGGCUCUGACUGUGAGGAUCACAGAGUUGCAGAGCCAAUUAAAUGCACAACCUUGCUCAGUCUCUUCUGCUAAGGGAAGGGCACGGGUUAAGAAGGAACAGAUCCCAAGAUGGGGACAUUUGGAUAGAACUUUGAACACCAGCACCUCCUGAAUCUUUCCUGUUGGUAAAGGCAGCACCCCUUGUCUUCAGUCUGAGAAAACUGGUCUUUCCCAGCACAGAACUCUUUCAGUGACUUCACUUGAGGCGGCUGCCUCACCAGGGAAGAUGCACCCCAGGAUACACUCCCAUCACCUCUUGUUUCCUCCAGGCCUAUAAUGAGAAUUAUAUCCCCACAGAGCCCAGCCAAGAAAAGGACAAGGUGUAUCCCAGGAGGAGAUAGUUUAUACAUUAAAGGAGUUGCAGAAUCUUGACAAUUUGUAUUGGCAGGAGUCUGGGUUGCAUCCAAGGGUGGUAGAUUAAGGAAGACAAAAUAUAAGAUUAGGCCGGGCAUGGUGGCUUAUGCCUGUAAUCCCAGCACUUUGAGAGGCCAAGGUGGGCGGAUCACAAGGUCAGGAGAUCAAGACCAUCUUGGUUAACAUGAUGAAACCCUGUCUCUACUAAAAAUACAAAAAAUUAGCCAGGCGUGGUGGCGGGCACCUGUAGUCCCGGCUACUUGGGAGGCUGAGGCAGGAGAAUGGCGUGAACCCGGGAGGUGGAGCUUGCAGUGAGCCAAGAUAGUGCCACUGCACUCCAGCCUGGGUGACAGAGCGAGACUCUCUCAAAACAAAACAAAAAACAGUUCCUGGCCAGAUGCAGUGGCUCACACCUGAAAUCCCAGCACUUUAGAAGUCGAGGUGGGUAGAUCACCUGAGAUCAGCAGUUCAAGACCAACCUGGCCAACAUGGUGAAACCCCGUCUCUACUAAAAAUACAAAAAUUAGCCGGGCAUGAUGGUGGGUGCCUGUGGUCCCAGCUACUCGGGAGGUUGAGGCGGGAGAAUCGCUUGAACCCAGGUGGCGGAGGUUGCAGUGAGCCAAGAUCACGCCAUUGCACUCCAGCCUGGGUGACAGAGUGAGACUCUGUCUCAAAAAAAUAAAAAAACAGCUCCUGGUUCACAACUGGACACGGUGAAGGUGGAAUGCCUGACUGUGGGACACCAAGUGACCCACACCACCAGAAGUAGAUGUGAUCUGAUCCACCUGAUUGUAAGAUUGGACAUGCAUGGAAGUGUUCUGUUCUUUGUCUUUCCUCCCCCUCUGUCAACCAGUUGCCAGCACUAGGAAUGGCAAUUCUAUUACUGAAUAGUAUAUGUAAGAUCGGGUCUGAGCAAGUCCAGAAGGUACAAAGAAGUUGCAUGAGCAGGUGGUUCAAAUUCCCUGGGUACCUACCCUUACUGCUUCACUGUUUCUCUCUACCCACACUUGGUGAAGUUGCUAUGACCAGUUAACACAGAGGAAAAAGCACAGACCUGAUUUCUAAAUGAGUCUGCAUAGUACUCAGCACAACUACGAAGAGACAACUACUGCAUUAUAGCCACACUCAGGGUGUCCCUGCAGGACAGCGAUGACGGUUCUGUCCCAGCAGGCAGAACCUCUGACUGUGUGGAUUAUCCACUUGCACGGAAGGAAAGAUGACCUGAGGGGCAGAUCCACACUGACUCAUGAGCAGUGGCUAACAAGUUAGGGGCUGGUUGGGGGCUUAAAAAUCACAAGACUGAGAGAUUGGUGAUGAGCAGGUGUAAGGGAGAGCACUAUGGAUGGGCUGCUUGAAAUGGGCAUAGGUGGUGAAGCUAAUUUUAACACACGCAAGUACCCUCAGAGGGCAUCUAUUGUAGAGAAGCCCUCAGUCAUCAGGUGGACAAGGUGACCCGUCCUGUAGAUGGCAACUUCUAUUCCCAGCUACCCUGGUUCUUGCUUAAUGGGCCUAUAUACAUGCUGUGGUGGCAGGGAUGGCUGGCUACGUGUGGUGUGGUAGGCAGAGUAACAGCACUCCAAAAAUGUCUAUGUUCUAAUCCUCAGAACUAAAUAUGUUGCAUGGUACGUGGCAAAGGGUGAUUUUUUAUUCUGAGACAGUGUCUUGCUCUCUCACUCAGGCUGGAGUGCAGUGGUGCGAUCUCAGCUCACUGCAACCUCUGCUUCCCGGGUUCAAGAUUCUUCUGCCUCAGCCUCCUGAGUAGCUUGGUACUACAGAUACCCACCAUGCCCGAUUAGUUUUUGUAUUUUUAGUAGAGAUGGGGCUUCCCCAUGUUGGCCAGGCUGGUUUCGAACUCCUGACCUCAAGAGAUCCACCCACCUCAGCCUCCCAAAGUGCUGGGAUUACAGGUGUGAGCCACUGUGCCCAGCUGCAAAGGGUGAAUUAAGGCAGAAGAUGGAAUAAGGUUGCUAAUCAGCUGACCUUAAAAAUAGGGUGAUUACGGCUGGGUGCGGUGGCUCACAUCUGUAGUCCCAGCACUUUGGGAGGCCGAGGCAGGAGGAUCGCUUGAACUCAGGGCUCCGAGACCAGCCUGGACAACACAGGAAGAUCUCAUCAUCUCUACUACUUAAAAAAAAAAAAAAAAAUUAGCUGGGUGUGGUGGUGUGCACCUGUAGUCCCAGCUACUUGGGAGGCUGACCCAGGAGGAUCGCUUGAGCCUGGGAGAUGGAAGCUGCAGUGAGCUAUGAUUGUGCCACUGCACUCCAGCUCGGGCAACAGAGAGAGACCAUCUUAAAAAAGGUAGCGGUGGAGGUUACCCUGAAUUAUCUGGGUUGGCCUAAUGUAAUCACAAUGUGGAAGAAUUUUUUUUUUUUUUUUUGAGACAAGAGUUUUGCUCUUGUUGCCCAGGCUGGAGUGCAACGGCACGAUCUCAGCUCACCACAACCUCUACCUCCCAGGUUCAAGUGAUUCUCCUGCCUCAGCCUCCCGAGUAGCUGAGAUUACAGGCAUGCACCAUCACGCCCAGAUAAUUUUGUAUUUUUAGUAGAUACGGGGUUUCUCCAUGUUGGUCAGGCUGGUCUCAAACUCCCAACCUCAGGUGAUCUGCCCUCCUCGGCCUCCCAAAGUGCUGGGAUUACAAGCGUGAGCCACCGCACCUGGCCGGAAGAAGUCUUUAAAUCCAGAAGAGUCGGGCAAAGUGAUGUGAUGUGAGAAACACCCAACCAGAUGUUGCCGGCUUUCAAGAUGGUAGGGGGCAUCUAGAAACUGGCAAUGGCAAGACAAGAUUCUCUUCAGAACCUCCAGAAAGGAGGGCAGACUUGCUGACACCUUGAUUUCAGUCCAGGGAAAUGCAUUUCAGACUUCUUUUAGAGCUGUAAGAAAAUAGUGUUUCAAGCUACUAAGCUUGUGAUAAUUUGUUACAGCAGCCACAGAAAACUAACACAGAAAACUAAUACAGACUCAACACAUUUCCCUCACCAAAUCUGACACGGCAAUGGCGGUGUUCAGUGCCAAGCUGUCCAACAGCAAAGACCAAGCUGAGUUUCCUACAUGGCACCAUUCGCUGGGGGUCCCCAAGACCCUUGCAGGAAUUCUGUGAGGUCAAAUCUAUUUUCAUAUGAAUACUAAGACAUUAUUUGCCCUCUUCACUGUCAUUGAGUGUAGAGUGGAAUUUCCCAUAGGCUACAUGACAAGUACACAACAGAUCAAAUGCUGAAGAUCUGAGAAUGUUGCUAUCUUCUAUUAAGCCAGCUGUAGAGAUCUGCCAAAAUGUCAAAUGCCAUUCUAACAAUUUUUGUUUUGAAAAAGUUAUUUUUCAUUAAAAAUUUUAUAUUUAUAUUAA